CUCGUAGGCGGUUCGUCGCGUCCGGUGUGAAAGCCCAUCGCUUAACGGUGGAUCCGCGCCGGGUACGGGCGGGCUUGAGUGCGGUAGGGGAGACUGGAAUUCCCGGUGUAACGGUGGAAUGUGUAGAUAUCGGGAAGAACACCAAUGGCGAAGGCAGGUCUCUGGGCCGUUACUGACGCUGAGGAGCGAAAGCGUGGGGAGCGAACA
rnacentral:rRNA from 1 species